rnacentral:rRNA from 1 species
CCUACGGGUGGCUGCAGUGGGGGAUAUUGCACAAUGGGGGGAACCCUGAUGCAGCGACGCCGCGUGGGUGAAGGAGCGCUUCGGCGCGUAAAGCCCUAUCGGCAGGGAAGAAGGAGGACGGUACCUGACUAAGAAGCCCCGGCUAACUACGUGCCAGCAGCCGCGGUAAUACGUAGGGGGCAAGCGUUAACCGGAUUUACUGGGUGUAAAGGGGGCGCAGACGGCAGCGCAAGCCAGGAGUGAAAGCCCGGGGCCCAACCCCGGGACUGCUCUUGGAACUGCGCGGCUGGAGUGCCGGAGGGGUAGGCGGAAUUCCUGGUGUAGCGGUGAAAUGCGUAGAUAUUAGGAGGAACACCAGUGGCGAAGGCGGCCUACUGGACGGUGACUGACGCUGAUGCACGAAAGCGUGGGUAUCAAACAGGAUUAGAUACCCGAGUAGUC